rnacentral:rRNA from 1 species
AAUAGAUACCCGGGUAGUCCACGCCGUAAACGAUGAGUGCUAAGUGUUAGAGGGUUUCCGCCCUUUAGUGCUGCAGCUAACGCAUUAAGCACUCCGCCUGGGGAGUACGGCCGCAAGGCUGAAACUCAAAGGAAUUGACGGGGGCCCGCACAAGCGGUGGAGCAUGUGGUUUAAUUCGAAGCAACGCGAAGAACCUUACCAGGUCUUGACAUCCUCUGAUAACCCUAGAGAUAGGGCUUUCCCCGUUCGGGGGACAGAGUGACAGGUGGUGCAUGGUUGUCGUCAGCUCGUGUCGUGAGAUGUUGGGUUAAGUCCCGCAACGAGCGCAACCCUUGAUCUUAGUUGCCAGCAUUCAGUUGGGCACUCUAAGGUGACUGCCGGUGACAAACCGGAGGAAGGUGGGGAUGACGUCAAAUCAUCAUGCCCCUUAUGACCUGGGCUACACACGUGCUACAAUGGAUGGUACAAAGGGCUGCAAACCUGCGAAGGUAAGCGAAUCCCAUAAAGCCAUUCUCAGUUCGGAUUGCAGG